AUGAACGCUAGCGGCAGGCUUAAUACAUGCAAGUCGAGGGGCAGCAUGAGUAGCAAUACUUGAUGGCGACCGGCAAACGGGGUGCGGAACACGUACACAACCUUCCUUUAAGUGGGGAAUAGCCCAGAGAAAUUUGGAUUAAUACCCCGUAACAUAUAGAUGUGGCAUCACAAUUAUAUUAUAGGUUUACCGCUUAAAGAUGGGUGUGCGGCUGAUUAGAUAGUUGGCGGGGUAAUGGCCCACCAAGUCUACGAUCAGUAGCUGAUGUGAGAGCAUGAUCAGCCACACGGGCACUGAGACACGGGCCCGACUCCUACGGGAGGCAGCAGUAAGGAAUAUUGGACAAUGGACGCAAGUCUGAUCCAGCCAUGCCGCGUGAAGGAUUAAGGUCCUCUGGAUUGUAAACUUCUUUUAUAUGGGACGAAAAAAGGGCAUUCUUGCUCACUUGACGGUACCAUAUGAAUAAGCACCGGCUAACUCCGUG
rnacentral:rRNA from 1 species